rnacentral:rRNA from 1 species
UGGUGGAGCGAUUUGUCUGGUUAAUUCCGAUAUCGAACGAGACUCUGGCCUAUUAAAUAGUUCGCCGAUUCCGAUCUGUCGGCGUUAACUUCUUAGAGGGACAAGUGGCUUUUAGCCACGCGAGAUUGAGCAAUAACA